CAGUAGCCGCGGUAAUACAGAGGGUGCGAGCGUUAAUCGGAUUUACUGGGCGUAAAGCGUGCGUAGGCGGCUUUUUAAGUCGGAUGUGAAAUCCCUGAGCUUAACUUAGGAAUUGCAUUCGAUACUGGGAAGCUAGAGUAUGGGAGAGGAUGGUAGAAUUCCAGGUGUAGCGGUGAAAUGCGUAGAGAUCUGGAGGAAUACCGAUGGCGAAGGCAGCCAUCUGGCCUAAUACUGACGCUGAGGUACGAAAGCAUGGGAAGCAAACAGGAUUAGAUACCCCGGUAGUCCCUGUCUCUUAUAC
rnacentral:rRNA from 1 species